ACGAGGAUAGCUUAAUGGAAAAGCACUCAACAUGAUUGAGGGAAUGUUGGUUCGAAUCCAACACUUUGCA
rnacentral:tRNA from 1 species